GAUGAACGCUAGCGGGAGGCUUAAUACAUGCAAGUCGAACGGUAAUCUGACCACUCUUGAGUGUUCAGAACGAGUGGCGCACGGGUGAGUAACGCGUACACGACCUACCUAUAAGAGGGGGAUAGGCCUGGGAAACUAGGAUUAAUACCCCAUAAUAUCUUGGAAAUGAUUUUGAGAUUAAAGCUACGGUGCUUAUAGAUGGGUGUGCGUUCCAUUAGCUAGUUGGUAAGGUAAUGGCUUACCAAGGCGACGAUGGAUAGGGGGCGUGAGAGCGUGAUCCCCCACACGGGUACUGAGACACGGACCCGACUCCUACGGGAGGCAGCAGUAAGGAAUAUUGGACAAUGGGCGCAAGCCUGAUCCAGCUAUCCCGCGUGCAGGAAGAAUGCCCUAUGGGUUGUAAACUGCUUUUACCAGGGAAGAACAGUAGUCAUUUAUGAUUAUUUGACGGUACCUGGAGAAUAAGCACCGGCUAACUCCG
rnacentral:rRNA from 1 species